rnacentral:rRNA from 1 species
UACGGAGGGGGCAAACGUUGCUCGGAAUCAUUGGGCGUAAAGCGCACGUAGGCGGCUUGUUAAGUCGGAUGUGAAAGCCCUCGGCUCAACCGAGGAAGUGCAUUCGAAACUGGCAGACUUGAGUACGGGAGAGGGUUGCGGAAUUCUCGGUGUAGAGGUGAAAUUCGUAGAUAUCGGGAGGAACACCUGUGGCGAAGGCGGCAACCUGGACCGAUACUGACGCUGAGGUGCGAAAGCGUGGGGAGCAAACAGG